rnacentral:rRNA from 1 species
UGGGGAAUUUUGGACAAUGGGCGCAAGCCUGAUCCAGCAAUGCCGCGUGAGUGAAGAAGGCCUUCGGGUUGUAAAGCUCUUUUGUCAGGGAAGAAACGGCUGUGGCUAAUAUCCACGGCUAAUGACGGUACCUGAAGAAUAAGCACCGGCUAACUACGUGCCAGCAGCCGCGGUAAUACGUAGGGUGCAAGCGUUAAUCGGAAUUACUGGGCGUAAAGCGUGCGCAGGCGGUUUUGUAAGUCUGUCGUGAAAUCCCCGGGCUCAACCUGGGAAUUGCGAUGGAGACUGCAAGGCUAGAAUCUGGCAGAGGGGGGUAGAAUUCCACGUGUAGCAGUGAAAUGCGUAGAGAUGUGGAGGAACACCGAUGGCGAAGGCAGCCCCCUGGGUCAAGAUUGACGCUCAUGCACGAAAGCGUGGGGAGCAAACAGGAUUAGAUACCCUGGUAGUCCACGCCCUAAACGAUGUCUACUAGUUGUCGGGUUUUAAUUAACUUGGUAACGCAGCUAACGCGUGAAGUAGACCGCCUGGGAGA